GGUGUAAUGUCCUCUUGCUCUUCUCGCGGAGCGCAAACGAAGGGUAACGUGCGUUGAAAGGUAGAGAGAGCAAGAAAGGUGACGUCGGCGGCGGCGGCGGCGAUCCCAACGGCGGCGGUUGUGGAGGGGUUCGGCAUAAGCGGAGCUGCCCAGAGUUGGACGGUGCGCCUCACUGAGAGCCUACGCCUGCGAGCUCCCGCUCCCUUCGCGGCGGCGAAAAGUACCCGCGGCCAACGACCACCGCCGCCCUCCCUGCUCGUCCGCACGCCGUUGGAGUUCGAAGAGGGUACACGGACCUGUGCUCGCCGUGUUCCCCAACUCCUCGUCCCCCGCUACGGUUCCCGCACCUCGUCCCCUAAGUGUUCGUCUACGUAUAGUAGUCGUUGGGGACUCUGGAGCACGUUGUAGUUCUACGACCACAGGACGGAGGUAAACAAGCGGUGCCAGCGACGGAGUACAGUCCAUAUACCGCUCCUGUGUUUAAACCCACAGGUCGAGGAACGGACGUACACGUUUCUUAAGUCUUGGACGUCUAAUAAAACACAUACACUGAUGUUCCACAACCUUUAGGUUAGUCUGAACGUCGUCUACUUCGGUUGCGCCUGCUACUAAUUGAAGAGACUGGAAUACCCUAGCCACCGUCGCUCUAGGCGUUCCUCUUGCUCCACCGCGGCGUUCUACCGUUCUUGCCACGCCGUCGCCCCACCCGUUCUUCUACUCCGAGGUCCAAACCGACUAACGAGCCUACUACUCAUAGUAUUGGGUGUGUUCUUUAUAUCUUUUCCAUUUCGCUUCUGUGUCAGGUAAACCAAACAGUAAAACUUCCGUGUCUAUCUUUGUUCUUGUGGUAUAUACAAGAUAUUCCUGUCUCAAGACGGCAAAGUCACCACGGUUCUAUAUGGGCCCCUUACGUAGUCUAAGCAGAUAAGUCUGAGAGCUCAGAAGGAAAAAAGGUUGAGUUUCACGUUCGCGAUAAAGGUGUUGGUAGAAUUCGGACCAUUCGAAUAUACCUUACGGUACAUGUCCUUCGUCGUGUUCUUGAUAUAAGCACAACUCCGACGUUUCUUCUCCGUGGCGCGGUAGUUCUCAGGAAUACCAGAGCGACUAGUAGCGGAGACCUGCGCGGUAACU
rnacentral:rRNA from 1 species